rnacentral:rRNA from 1 species
UUGAACGCUGGCGGCAGGCCUAACACAUGCAAGUCGAGCGGAUGAGUGGAGCUUGCUCCAUGAUUCAGCGGCGGACGGGUGAGUAAUGCCUAGGAAUCUGCCUAGUGGUGGGGGAUAACGUUCGGAAACGGACGCUAAUACCGCAUACGUCCUACGGGAGAAAGCGGGGGAUCUUCGGACCUCGCGCCAUUAGAUGAGCCUAGGUCGGAUUAGCUAGUUGGUGAGGUAAUGGCUCACCAAGGCGACGAUCCGUAACUGGUCUGAGAGGAUGAUCAGUCACACUGGAACUGAGACACGGUCCAGACUCCUACGGGAGGCAGCAGUGGGGAAUAUUGGACAAUGGGCGAAAGCCUGAUCCAGCCAUGCCGCGUGUGUGAAGAAGGUCUUCGGAUUGUAAAGCACUUUAAGUUGGGAGGAAGGGUAGUAACCUAAUACGUUGCUACUUUGACGUUACCGACAGAAUAAGCACCGGCUAACUUCGUG